rnacentral:rRNA from 1 species
UACGGAGGGUGCGAGCGUUGUCCGGAAUCACUGGGCGUAAAGGGCGCGUAGGUGGCCCGUCAAGCGCGCGGUGAAAGCCCGGGGCUCAACCCCGGGUCGGCCGUGCGGACUGGCGGGCUCGAGCACUGUAGGGGCGGGUGGAAUUCCGGGUGUAGCGGUGGAAUGCGUAGAGAUCCGGAAGAACACCAGUGGCGAAGGCGACUUACUGGACACAUAUUGACGCUGAGGUGCGAAAGCGUGGGGAGCAAACAGG